rnacentral:rRNA from 1 species
AGUGAACGCUGGCGGUAGGCCUAACACAUGCAAGUCGAACGGCAGCACAGUAAGAGCUUGCUCUUACGGGUGGCGAGUGGCGGACGGGUGAGGAAUACAUCGGAAUCUACUUUUUCGUGGGGGAUACGUAGGGAAACUUACGCUAAUACCGCAUACGACCUACGGGUGAAAGCAGGGGAUCUUCGGACCUUGCGCGAUUGAAUGAGCCGAUGUCGGAUUAGCUAGUUGGCGGGGUAAAGGCCCACCAAGGCGACGAUCCGUAGCUGGUCUGAGAGGAUGAUCAGCCACACUGGAACUGAGACACGGUCCAGACUCCUACGGGAGGCAGCAGUGGGGAAUAUUGGACAAUGGGCGCAAGCCUGAUCCAGCCAUACCGCGUGGGUGAAGAAGGCCUUCGGGUUGUAAAGCCCUUUUGUUGGGAAAGAAAAGCAGCAGGUUAAUACCCCGCUGUUCUGACGGUACCCAAAGAAUAAGCACCGGCUAACCUCGUG